UACGAAGGGGGCUAGCGUUGCUCGGAAUCACUGGGCGUAAAGCGCACGUAGGCGGCUUCUCAAGUCAGGGGUGAAAUCCUGGAGCUCAACUCCAGAACUGCCUUUGAUACUGAGGGGCUCGAGUCCGGGAGAGGUGAGUGGAACUGCGAGUGUAGAGGUGAAAUUCGUAGAUAUUCGCAAGAACACCAGUGGCGAAGGCGGCUCACUGGCCCGGUACUGACGCUGAGGUGCGAAAGCGUGGGGAGCAAAAGGG
rnacentral:rRNA from 1 species